rnacentral:rRNA from 1 species
UCCGUAGGUGGAUAAUUAAGUCAGAGGUGAAAUCCUGCAGCUCAACUGUAGAAUUGCCUUUGAUACUGGUUAUCUUGAGUUAUUAUGAAGUAGUUAGAAUAUGUAGUGUAGCGGUGAAAUGCAUAGAUAUUACAUAGAAUACCAAUUGCGAAGGCAGAUUACUAAUAAUCAACUGACACUGAUGGACGAAAGCGUGGGGAGCGAACAGGAUUAGAUACCCUAGUAGUCC